CUCCCGUCUCCAUGGGAACGUUCUGAGUGUCCAGUCCCAGGCCUGAGGCUUUGGUUUUGGUCAAACAGGGUGGCAGACAUUGUUUGGACGGAGUAUUUGAGUUGGUCCCUGUUCCUCUCCAGAGGCUCCGUAGGUGACGCGGACUCUCAGGAGCACCGAACCAGAAGCAGACAAGGACGAGAAGAGCUGUGGCGGAAGAGAGAGGGCCAGGUGUCGAGAAGUCGUUCAGGCUUAGAAAUCUCGGACUCCAGUGUAGGGACCUGUGAUCAGCAAGGGAGGACCAGAGUGUCAAAGACUAAUGCCCCCAUUUUACAGCUCAGCCUUCUCAACACUCCACACUUCCCUAGAAAAGGAGCACAAAGGAGGAAAGAAUGGUCACUCUUUCCCUCACAGUCUGAUCCUGGCCUUUCCUGGAUUUGUUUCUUUUCUUAA
rnacentral:lncRNA from 1 species